GACGUAGGGCGCAAGCGUUGUCCGGAUUUAUUGGGCGUAAAGAGCUCGUAGGCGGCUUGUUGCGUCGUCCGUGAAAACCUGUGGCUCAACUACAGGCUUGCGGUCGAUGCGGGCGGGCUGGAGUUCGGUAGGGGAGACUGGAAUUCCUGGUGUAGCGGUGAAAUGCGCAGAUAUCAGGAGGAACACCGGUGGCGAAGGCGGGUCUCUGGGCCGAUACUGACGCUGAGGCACGAAAGCUAGGGGAGCGAACGGG
rnacentral:rRNA from 1 species